UGAACUGCUCCGUAAGAGAAAAGGGAUGAAAUAUGUAGAUUUCUCCUGAUGGUCGGCUUCUAUAGGCAGGUGUGGAUAGUAUCACCAGAUCGUUGGCUCUGGAAUGGGGAACAGAUUAUGACAUUAGAGUCAAUGGAAUUGCACCAGGGCCAAUUCAAGACACUCCAGGAAUGAGGAAGCUUGCACCUGAGGAAAUGAGCAAGGGGCGUCGAGAAAUGACACCAUUAUUUAAGCUUGGGGAGAAAUGGGACAUAGCGAUGGCCGCACUCUAUCUGGGUUCUGAUGCAGGUGGGUUGUGUUCUUCACUGUUUUCUAACCAGAUUAUCAACAGGUUCAACUGUACACAGAGUUUCAUUUAGUACUUAGCAUCCGCUUAUCUGAAGGGUAUCUGGAAGUGGUUGUUAUGUGCACGCUUAAUAUGCUUUGUUAUUGUGGUUUUUGCUGGUUAUGUUCAUGCAUGUCUCUUAAGUAGUCAGUUUAAACCCCCAUGGUUAUUAUGUGUUUCUCAGUAAGUUACUCAGUAGCAGGUUUCAGCCUCACCUUGUUAAAAAAAGGUUUAGCCUCACCUGAAGACUUAGCCAUUUUUCUUUUCGCGAGGAGAAAAAAUCAGCCAUUUGAUGUAUGGUACAAUCUGAUAUGCAGGAAAAUAUGUCAAUGGGGCUACAAUUGUUGUUGAUGGAGGCCUUUGGUUGAGUCGACCUCGCCAUAUUCCCAAAGAGGAAGUGAAGGCGCUCUCUAAGGUUGUCGAGAGGAAGGUCAGGACCUCUGGUGUUGGCGUGCCAUCCAGCAAAUUAUGAUGGCAUCUUUGUUUAUGUAGCUCUUCGGUGUGUUCUGUGUAGAAUAUGUCCAUAUUGUUGUCACCACUCACCAGUAUUGUUCUCAGUUUGAUUAUGUCAGCUGACCAGAGUCUGUUCAGCUGAGCAAAGUUCAAACAUUUACUGUUGAUGUAUUCCAAAUCGCAUUAGAAAUUGAUGAGAUUGUUAUGGCCUCCCAACCACGAAGUGUUUAUCUCCAAAUGUUUGCAUGCUAUCUUCCAAAUCUUUGUUCAGAUUGUCUGUGGAGUGUUAUAUUGAAGAUUGAACAACUUGCAUAUCCCUCGUGUUGCAACUCCUUGCAAAUAGUUUACUACCAGGAGUUGAAAGAAAGCCUUUCAGGCUUCUUCCGGGGCCUUUCGUUGCGGCUUGACCCUGUGAAUGUUUGAACCUUUGUCUGGGCUGCUUCUUCUGACUGACAGACCUUGCUGUGAUCUUCUCCCUCGAAUUUUUCUACUACUACCUGCUUGCGCACCUAUGCGAUGACCAGUGCAGUGCCCUCUUGGCAAACACGAGGGAGAAGGUAAACGCCAUCGUUGUCGCGGUGCCGUGGUGCGGCUGUGUGGACUGUGGUGGAGUACUACAAACUAUAAACAAAACGGACAGAGGCCGGCCGCAGCCGCCAACUCCUUCGGUCCCCUUCCCCAAUCGCGCCCCAGACGCCUCCGGAACCGCGAGGCCGGCGCGCGCAAGAUCUGAGCCGAGGGGAUGGAGUCACCAUUCCGGGCAGACGUGCUCAAGGGGAAGGCGGCGCUAGUCACAGGCGGUGGAUCCGGCAUCUGCUUCGAGAUUGCCGCCCAGCUCGCGCGCCAUGGCGCGCAGGUCGCCAUCAUGGGCCGCCGCCGCGAGGUCCUCGACAAGGCCGUCGCCGCUCUCCGGUCCCAGGGCCUCCGGGUGCGUCCCCAAUCGACUUUCUACCACCCUAGCUUCCACUUAUACUGUUCUUGGUUUCCGGGUGCUAAUGUCUGGGUGAUUUCUGUCGUUGUUUGCUGGGAAAAACACGGUCUUUUGCUUGUAAUGGUACUAGCAGCUAUGGAUGUUAAUUUGCUAGUCGCAUCGUCUUGUGCUGGAAAUGAAAUUGGUGGAAGUUCUUCGAAUCCAAUGCACAGCGUUGUCUAGGAAGGGUCUCGGUGUAGGAACGCUUCCGUGCAAGCAGCAUAUAUGUUUUCAGAGUCUCUUGCUUGUGAAACAAAAUUCAUAUGCUCCCUGUCAUGAUUUUAAUGUGCUAAACUUGUACCAUGGUUCUUUUGCGAUCAAGACAUAAACUGCUGUCACUCUUUAGUCAUUCAAAUGGUGUGAUGUGCAGGCUGUUGGUUUUGAUGGAGAUGUCCGCAAGGAGGAGGAUGCGGCCAAAGUGCUUGCGGCGACAGUUGAGCAUUUUGGCAAGCUUGACAUUCUUGUCAAUGGUGCAGCCGGCAACUUCCUUGCUUCCCCGGAGGAUUUGACACCCAAGGGAUUCCGAACCGGUACUUCAUCAAAGCGUGCUCUUGUGUUCAUUCAGUGAAGCUCUCUGUUCCAGUCGUUCGCACAUUGUCAGCAAUACACAGAAUCUUGGUUUGGUCGAUUGUGCAUUUGUGCUAGGCUUCUAGAUCAAUAAAUUCUAUGCUAGAUCAGGAACUUGUUUAUUGUACUUCGCUUAUUAUUAACUGUUUCAGAGAAGUUCGUAUUGACCAAAAUUUGUCUCUGCAGUUCUUGACAUUGACACUGUGGGUACAUAUACAAUGUGCUAUGAAGCCCUCAAGUAUCUGAAAAGGGGUGGGCCAGGAAAAGGCCCAUCCAAUGGUGGCCUAAUCAUUAACAUAAGUGCAACACUGCAUUACACUGCGACUUGGUACCAAAUUCAUGUCUCUGCUGCUAAGGUACCUGGAUCUUCUCUGAAACACUCCUUAAGGUAAAAUAAUUGGAAUAAGCAGAUUUGUCCUGACGGAUUGGGUUGUAAAGGCAGGUGUUGAUAGCAUCACAAGAUCAUUGGCUCUGGAAUGGGGAACAGAUUAUGACAUUAGAGUCAACGGGAUUGCACCUGGACCAAUUCAAGGCACCCCGGGACUGAGAAAGCUUGCACCUGAGGAAAUGAGCAAGGGACUUCGAGAAAUGAUGCCACUGUUCAAGUUUGGGGAGAAGCAGGACAUAGCAAUGGCUGCGCUCUACCUUGCUUCUGAUG
rnacentral:lncRNA from 1 species